rnacentral:rRNA from 1 species
GAUUAGAUACCCUAUUAUUUUAAAUGUAAAUUGUUAUACUAAAGUAGUAAUAGUUAAGUUCUUUAAAUUUAAAGAUUUUGGCGGUAUUUUAGUCUAUUCAGAGGAACCUGUUCUGUGAUUGAUAAUCCACGAUUAACUUUACUUAGUUUAAUAAUUUGUAUAUCGUCGUUUAUAAAUGAUUUUAAAAGAAUUUAAAUUUUUAAGAUUUUUUAUUAAAAAAUAUAUCAGAUCAAGGUGCAGUUUAUAAUUAAGUAGAAAUGGGUUACAAUAAAUUUAUUUAUACGAAUUAAUAUAUUAAAUUAUAUUAUGAAGGAGGAUUUGAUAGUAAUAAAAUUAAAUUAAAUUUUAUGAUUUUAGCUCUAAAAUAUGUACACAUCGCCCGU